CAGUCGCCGCGGGAAUACGAAGGGGGCUAGCGUUGCUCGGAAUUACUGGGCGUAAGGGGCGCGUAGGCGGACAGUUUAGUCAGAGGUGAAAGCCCAGGGCUCAACCUUGGAAUUGCCUUUGAUACUGGCUGUCUUGAGUACGGGAGAGGUGUGUGGAACUCCGAGUGUAGAGGUGAAAUUCGUAGAUAUUCGGAAGAACACCGGUGGCGAAGGCGACACACUGGCCCGUUACUGACGCUGAGGCGCGAAAGCGUGGGGAGCAAACAGGAUUAGAGACCCCGGUAGUCCCUGUCUCUUAUAC
rnacentral:rRNA from 1 species